CUGGCGGGAUAUCCCACUACCAGUAAAUGCCUCUUUUUUUUUUAUGACUCCGGCUCACUCGCACGUCUCCGCCCACUUCCCCGAUCGCUGCUGUAAGAGCUACUUCUCUCCUUCUCUUCUCUGAAAAGAAAUGUUUAUAAGCUGUUUGAGGGAUUUACCGAGCUUUUGUUAGUGACUUAUAAAUCCAGUCGAAGUAAAACUCUGAUUAAAGUAACACAAUGAAUGCUUUUUUUAGUAAAAGGUUGUAUUACUAAAGGGAGUGUUUUAUGAGCUAAUGCUAACAACCUAAUGCUAAUGCCUAGUGCUCCUAUAGGCCCGGUGUGAAAUGAAGACGGUUCAUUUGACUGUAAACUACAGUUAGUGUUGUUUUAUUAGCUUCAUUUGGUGUGUUAGUGUUUCUGAGACUGUUACAGAAGGUGCAGUUAGUUCUACUCCUCACAAAUCGGUAGGUAGGUUAAAACAGGCUCAUUCUUCAGGUUGUAAAGGUAACCGCCAUCUUAGAACCAAUAACUGCUGAAGCACCAGGUGUGGCGACUUAAUAGGAGCCUCUGGCUGAUCAGCAGGAGAAAAAGAGUCACGUGCUUGUAUGCGCGUGUGUCUGUGUUGCAGGUUAAUUAAGGGAAGGGAGACUGAGGAUAAAACACAUAGUUAAUAUUGAAACAGAUCUUUGGUUUUGCCUUUGCUGACUGCUGAUCUGAUCGUCUCAAGUCUGGUGACCUGCUGCAGAAGCUCUCUCCCUCUAUCAUUAACAAGCCAUUCAGUCUGUCCUAUCACUCUACCCACUCUAUCUAUUUUGACAAGACGUUCUAUCUUGCUUCACUCUAUCCCACAAGCUCUAUCUAAGUUAUCAAAAAUCACGUUUUUAACUGGAAUCAAAUUUUGACUGGAAUCAAGUUUUGACUGGAAUAAUCAAGUUUUGACAUGGCCCCAAUUUUUGGGAAAUUGAAGUUACCAGUACUUCAUCUAUCUGUUACAGAAUUCUGAGAGAUCUCUGCUCUCACUGCUCCUUCUUUCCUUUCGUUAAACUCUCUCACAUCCAGUCUUUUUCCUGGAAAUUACAAGUAGAAAGUUGAAAUUACAAUAGUAGAAUUACAGUACAGUAGAAACUAUUUACACAGCUGUAGACUUGUAAUUUUAAUUUUUACUUGGAAUACUUUGGAAUAAACACUGAUAGUUUGGCUUAGAGGUGCAAUUACUUUGAUACAUUAUAUAAAAUUUACACCUUCUUUAAGGUUUUUUGUAAUAAGAUAAACUUGUUAUUUUAUACGACACAUUCAGACUGUUGUAUUCACAAAAAUAUUAAAUUGCAUAACUUCAGAUACAUUUUGCUAGUCCGUUUCAUUGUCAGUAACAUUUGACUAUAGUAGGGUUAUACUAUUCUUAUUUAGGGACAAACCCAUUUCUGUUACUCAGUGUAAGUGUUCAGACACAAUUGUCAUCGAGAAGCUGCCCUGAGGACCCAGACUUCCUGUUUCC